GCGAACAGGAUUAGAUACCCUGGUAGUCCAUGCCGCGUCGACAAACGAUGAUUACUAGGUGUGGGAGGAUUGACCCCUUCCGUGCCGCAGUUAACACAAUAAGUAAUCCACCUGGGGAGUACGACCGCAAGGUUGAAACUCAAAGGAAUUGACGGGGGCCCGCACAAGCAGUGGAGUAUGUGGUUUAAUUCGAAACAACGCGAAGAACCUUACCAGGUCUUGACAUCCGAUGCAUAGUCUAGAGAUAGAUGAAGUCCUUCGGGACAUCGAGACAGGUGGUGCAUGGUUGUCGUCAGCUCGUGUCGUGAGAUGUUGGGUUAAGUCCCGCAACGAGCGCAACCCUUAUCGUUAG
rnacentral:rRNA from 1 species